UCCAAGAUGGCGGCGACCAGUAGUAAAUUGACAGAUGGCAGUUUUAUAUACUUAAUUUGGUUAUAAGACUGCUUUUAAAAGGAUUUCCCAGCACAGCUACCUCAACCCACAAGUUGACCAGUCAGAGGAAGCCUUCUCCUGGUUGCGACCUGACCUUGACCUUCUCCGAGAUUAAGAGAGAAAUUUGGCUGGAGGAAAGAAAAAGGUGGACGAGAAUCUCCUUCCUGUGAUGAAGAAGAUGAACGAGAAACAGAACAACAUCCACAGGAGCAUCAAGAUCGACCUACGAUACAGUGAGUGAGAGAUAGAGUUCCUGGACAGUGUUAGAGUGGAGGACGACGGGAUGCUUGUGACAGAUCUGUACAGGAAACCGACUGACAAACAACUGUAUCUUCUCUAUAGUUCUGCCCAUCACCCACGGAUGAAGAGAUUGAUACCAUAUGGAGACCAUCAACUUCAAGAUAAACAUAUGAAGCACACUGAUGCUGCUCCUGCAGAUAGAGAUGAUACUCAUCAGCCUAUUCCUAUUCAGGACCAUGACUAUGUGACAGACCCUCUUCCGCUGUCGGAUGCAGAGAAGCUGGAGCUCUCAACACAGUACAUUGCAACACUUAAAGCUAGGCUGCAGGCAAAAAUUAAUCAAAGGUGGAGUCAUCCGAGAAGAAAUUGCCCAUCGAUGACAAAAUCAAUUUUACGACGUAGCACAUGUACACGUACCAGGAAAGUUUACGAAUAGUUGGAGGCCAAUUUCAGGAUGGUUGUACCACAAAGAUAUAAUCUACCAUUGACACGAUAUAUAUGUUUUAGUUAAGCGCAUGGAAAUAAAAUAGAUCGUUUUUUUUAGGAAAUAAAUGUCUCAUACAAAUAUUCAUAAACAUCACAAAUCCGGAUAAUGUUUUUUUUUGUGUAUCGAGAAUCGCUUAAUAUUUAAAUACAAUGUAUCCCUCAAUACUUUUGUUUCAUAUGAAACCAGUAUAUUAGUUAACAAUAAUAUCACAUCGUACACUGUGUAUGUCAGUAGACCGCAUUUGUUUUAGGAAAAUAAAUGUAUCCGUUUUACAGAGUUGUUUCAUAAUUUUGUAUAUUCGACCAUCACACAUCCAGAUAAUGGAUUUUUAUGUGUAUCGAGAAAUGCUUAACAUUUAAAUAAAAUGUAUCUUUUGUUUCAUAUUGAAAUGAAGCUAGUAAAUGAGAUAAUAAUAAUAUCACAUAGUACAUAUGUUAGUAGGCCGCAUUGCUCAACUGAUGCAACAUGUGGUUUUGAGAUAGGAAACUGCCGUGUGUUAUCCGUGUUUCCCUGUUAAUAGAUUGGUAAUUUUACCAAUGUCAAACGAGUGCUAAUAAACUGUUAUUUGAAAGUAGACAAAAGCUAGUCACACUUAGCGACUUGAUCUGUUGUGGAGUAAUGCUAUUAGAUAUAUUGUGCAGUGGUAUCCGUCAUUAAGUGAUGUUGAAGUAAACGGUCAACGUACUGAUUUUGUAUCUAAGAAAUAAAUAAACAGUAAUGUUUAACUGUUCUUUCUGUAUUUUUUAAAUGCUGUUUUAACUUUAUUAACUUAAAAACAAUAUUGACACGUGUUAAGGAAUAAAACCAGAGACCCAUGGGCCUUAACGCUCACCUGAUAUAUUUAUA